rnacentral:rRNA from 1 species
AUUGAACGCUGGCGGUAGGCCUAACACAUGCAAGUCGAGCGGAUGAAGGGAGCUUGCUCCUGGAUUCAGCGGCGGACGGGUGAGUAAUGCCUAGGAAUCUGCCUGGUAGUGGGGGAUAACGUCCGGAAACGGGCGCUAAUACCGCAUACGUCCUGAGGGAGAAAGUGGGGGAUCUUCGGACCUCACGCUAUCAGAUGAGCCUAGGUCGGAUUAGCUAGUUGGUGGGGUAAAGGCCUACCAAGGCGACGAUCCGUAACUGGUCUGAGAGGAUGAUCAGUCACACUGGAACUGAGACACGGUCCAGACUCCUACGGGAGGCAGCAGUGGGGAAUAUUGGACGAUGGGCGAAAGCCUGAUACAGCCAUGCCGCGUGUGUGAAGAAGGUCUUCUGAUUGUAAAGCACUUUAAGUUGGGAGGAAGGGCAGUAAGUUAAUACCUUGCUGUUUUGACGUUACCAACAGAAUAAGCACCGGCUAACUUCGUG